GCCUUCGUGGUGUAGUGGUCAGCAUGCUCAGCGCUUAUUCGAGUGGUCCGUGGUUCGAGUCCCGGCGAGGGCA
rfam:Stegodyphus mimosarum contig90190, whole genome shotgun sequence.